rnacentral:snRNA from 1 species
ACGCUACAUUUAGUAGCACAUAUACUAAAACUGGAACAAUACAGAGAAGAUUAACAUGGCCUCUGUGCAAGGAUGACACACAAAUUCAUGAAGCAUUCCACAUUUUU